rnacentral:rRNA from 1 species
AUACGGAGGAUGCAAGCGUUAUCCGGAUUUAUUGGGUUUAAAGGGUGCGUAGGCGGUUUGCUAAGCGGGAGGUGAAAUGCCGGCGCUCAACGUCGGAAGUGCCUCCCGAACUGGUGGACUUGAAUGACUCUGCCGUGGGAGGAAUGUGUAGUGUAGCGGUGAAAUGCUUAGAGAUUACACAGAACACCGAUUGCGAAGGCAUCUCACGAAGGGUUGAUUGACGCUGAGGCACGAAAGCGUGGGGAUCAAACAGGAUUAGAUACCCUGGUAGUCCACGCAGUAAACGAUGAUGGCUAACCGCUGGAUCCAUCGGUUCAGUGGCCAAGCGAAAGCGAUAAGCCAUCCACCUGGGGAGUACGACCGCAAGGUUGAAACUUAAAGGAAUCGACGGGG